rnacentral:misc_RNA from 1 species
CAACCCUCAUCGCCCCAGCGGUGUGGUGUUGGGGAUCGGCCUGAGCUAACGCCCGGGCCGUCCCCCUAAAAUCUAGUGGCGGACUCGCUGUAGCCUCCUCUGCGUAGUAGUGAUAUUUCGCACCGGAGAGCGGCGAGCCCCUGCCGUAAAACCCCAACUUCUAAGG